rnacentral:tRNA from 1 species
UUACAUAUAGUGUAAUUAACACAUUAGAUUUUCAUGCUAAAAAUACAUUUCAUUGUUAUGU